AAUUGACAGCCUAUACUGAGGAUAGGACAACAAAAUCUGAUCAGUGGGGUUCCAUCACCAGGCAACCCACCAAUCAGCUGUUUUCCAGAGCCAAAGCACUUUAAAUACACAGACAGAAAGAGACCGUGCUGUACAGUGUGAAUGACCUGAUGGAAUACUGCAGAUCUGUUUGUAUUUAUUUCAACAGCAGCUGAUCUGGAGUCACUCAGCACAGCCACUACACAAAGAAUGGAACUCUGCUUCAAGCUCCAUUCGAAAUCUAUUGCAGGCACCACAGUCAAAAGCUGAUAGCAAAGUGGUUAUGGAAUUGUGAAAACCCUAUUUAAAUACUUUGCAACAAAGAUGGCAACAGAUUUUGACAGUUUUUGGCAAGGAAUUCACAUUGGAAGCACGUUCAAACUUUGACACAUACUGUUGCAGCAGAGCAUUGACACUAAACAACUAGGAUUUAAGUACCCAAUCCCUAUAGGUAACAGUUACAUGUGAUUUUGCAUUUGCAAACACUGUUCAAUGAUUCAUUGCAUAGCACUGAUCAGUGUUAUAGGCGCUCUGCUUAUACAGGCUGUCUGUAUAAUCCGACAGAACAGAGGAUGCUC